AGCAUGUGGUUUAAUUCGACGCAACGCGAAGAACCUUACCUGGGUUUGACAUCCCGAUCGUACUCUAUGGAAACAUAGGGGUCAGUUCGGCUGGAUCGGUGACAGGUGCUGCAUGGCUGUCGUCAGCUCGUGUCGUGAGAUGUUGGGUUAAGUCCCGCAACGAGCGCAACCCUUGUCCUUAGUUGCCACCAUUCAGUUGGGCACUCUAAGGAGACUGCCGGUGUUAAACCGGAGGAAGGUGGGGAUGACGUCAAGUCCUCAUGGCCCUUACAUCCCGGGCUACACACGUGCUACAAUGGUCGGUACAAAGGGUUGCCAAGCCGCGAGGUGGAGCUAAUCCCAUAAAACCGAUCGUAGUCCGGAUCGCAGUCUGCAACUCAACUGCGUGAAGUCGGAAUCGCUAGUAAUCGUGAAUCAGAAUGUCACGGUGAAUACGUUCCCGGGCCUU
rnacentral:rRNA from 1 species